CAGCCGCCGCGGUAAUACGUAGGGUGCGAGCGUUAAUCGGAAUUACUGGGCGUAAAGCGUGCGCAGGCGGUUAUGCAAGACAGAUGUGAAAUCCCCGGGCUUAACCUGGGAACUGCAUUUGUGACUGCAUGGCUAGAGUGCGGCAGAGGGGGAUGGAAUUCCGCGUGUAGCAGUGAAAUGCGUAGAUAUGCGGAGGAACACCGAUGGCGAAGGCAAUCCCCUGGGCCUGCACUGACGCUCAUGCACGAAGGCGUGGGGAGCAAACAGGAUUAGAUACCCCUGUAGUCCCUGUCUCUUAUAC
rnacentral:rRNA from 1 species